rnacentral:rRNA from 1 species
AUUGAACGCUGGCGGCAGGCCUAACACAUGCAAGUCGAACGAGUGGCGGACGGGUGAGUAAUAUCUGGGAAACUGCCUGAUGGAGGGGGAUAACUACUGGAAACGGUAGCUAAUACCGCAUACCCUCAGAUGUGCCCAUAUGGGCUUAGCUAGUUGGUGGGGUAACGGCUCCCCAAGGCUACGAUCCCUAGCUGGUCUGAGAGGAUGACCAGCCACACUGGAACUGAGACACGGCCCCGACGCCGUCGGGAGGCAGCAGUGGGGAAUUGUGGACAAUGGGCGCAAGCCUGAUGCAGCCAUGCCGCGUGUAUGAAGAAGGCCUUCGGGUUGUAAAGUACUUUCGGCGGGGAGGCGGUACCCGCAGAAGAAGCACCGGCUAACUACGUGCCAGCAGCCGCGGUAAUAC